GACGAACGCUGGCGGCGUGCUUAACACAUGCAAGUCGAACGGUAAGGCCCUUCGGGGUACACGAGUGGCGAACGGGUGAGUAACACGUGGGUGAUCUGCCCUGCACUUCGGGAUAAGCCUGGGAAACUGGGUCUAAUACCGGAUAGGACCACUGCCUGCAUGGGUGGUGGUGGAAAGCUUUUGCGGUGUGGGAUGGGCCCGCGGCCUAUCAGCUUGUUGGUGGGGUGAUGGCCUACCAAGGCGACGACGGGUAGCCGGCCUGAGAGGGUGACCGGCCACACUGGGACUGAGAUACGGCACAGACUCCUACGGGAGGCAGCAGUGGGGAAUAUUGCACAAUGGGCGCAAGCCUGAUGCAGCGACGCCGCGUGGGGGAUGACGGCCUUCGGGUUGUAAACCUCUUUCAGCACCGACGAAGCGCAAGUGACGGUGGGUGCAGAAGAAGGACCGGCCAACUACGUGCCAGCCGCCGCCGUAA
rnacentral:rRNA from 1 species